rnacentral:rRNA from 1 species
AGAUUGAACGCUGGCGGCAUGCCUUACACAUGCAAGUCGAACGCCCCGCAAGGGGAGUGGCAGACGGGUGAGUAACGCGUGGGAAUCUACCCAGUUCUACGGAAUAACACAGGGAAACUUGUGCUAAUACCGUAUACGCCCUACGGGGGAAAGAUUUAUCGGGAUUGGAUGAGCCCGCGUUGGAUUAGCUAGUUGGUGGGGUAAUGGCCUACCAAGGCGACGAUCCAUAGCUGGUCUGAGAGGAUGAUCAGCCACACUGGGACUGAGACACGGCCCAGACUCCUACGGGAGGCAGCAGUGGGGAAUAUUGGACAAUGGGCGCAAGCCUGAUCCAGCCAUGCCGCGUGAGUGAUGAAGGCCUUAGGGUUGUAAAGCUCUUUCAGUGGGGAAGAUAAUGACGGUACCCACAGAAGAAGCCCCGGCUAACUUCGUGCCAGCAGCCGC